CGUAGGGUGCGAGCGUUAAUCGGAAUUACUGGGCGUAAAGCGUGCGCAGGCGGUUUUGUAAGCCAGAUGUGAAAGCCCCGGGCUUAACCUGGGAAUGGCAUUUGGGACUGCAAGGCUUGAGUGCGGCAGAGGAGACUGGAAUUCCUGGUGUAGCAGUGAAAUGCGUAGAUAUCAGGAGGAAUACCGAUGGCGAAGGCAGGUCUCUGGGCUGACACUGACGCUCAUGCACGAAAGCGUGGGGAGCAAACAGGAUUAGAUACCCUGGUAGUCCACGCCCUAAACGAUGUCGACUGGUUGUUGGGGGUUUGACACUCUCAGUAACGAAGCUAACGCGUGAAGUCGACCGCCUGGGGAGUACGGCCGCAAGGUUA
rnacentral:rRNA from 1 species